UGAGUUUCAUGGGUUAUGAUUGAUUUUCAUUUUGAAAAAUAUUGUCUUGAUUUGAAUUGCACUAAAUGCUAUGAAAGAAGCCGAAUACUUUGAACAACUGGGUCAAACGUCCCGUAUCCAAAGAUAUUCAGAAAAAGGGUAGGAAUAUUUUAGUAUUAAAUGAAUAAGGAAAAGAAAAGGAUGGAUGAAUUACAAUAAUGAUCAGGGCCUUGAUGUCCAUUCUACUUUAGAGUCUUGGAAGGGAAUUCUUA
rnacentral:lncRNA from 1 species